rnacentral:rRNA from 1 species
GAUGAACGCUGGCGGCGUGCCUAACACAUGCAAGUCGAACGAGAACCCAUUCUUCGGAUUGGGGGACAGUGGCGAACGGGUGAGUAACACGUUGGUGACCUGCCCCGAAGUGGGGGAUAACUGCGGGAAACUGUGGCUAAUACCGCAUGUGCUCUAGAGGGUUAGAGGCCUCUUGAGUAAAGCUCCGGCGCUUCGGGAGGGGCCUGCGGCCUAUCAGCUAGUUGGUAGGGUAAUGGCCUACCAAGGCUCAGACGGGUAGGGGCGUGAGAGCGUGGCCCCCCACAAUGGAACUGAGACACGGUCCAUACUCCUACGGGAGGCAG